AUAUAAUCACAUUCAUAUUACAAGAUUAUCACUCAUCCACAGCAACCAAUCAUAGAAAGCAAAGAAUGGCUUCUUUUUCAGUGGAAGAAUUCAUAGGAAAUGGAAUUUUGAAGGAACUGCUCCAAAAGCUGUUGGAAGAAGGGAUGCACUUGGAAUCAGAUCAUACCUGCACGAUCGCGGACUAAUGCAAUAUGCAGAUAAGAUGGAGGACUGUGGGAAAGCUCUGUCAGAGCUUAUCAAUUUAAGCACCACAGAUCUUUCCUAAAACUCUUAUAUGUUUUCUUUUUGGUUUGAAAGCAUUUCACUAUUUCACUUAACCAAUAAAAAAAGAGAAGAUUAUUAAAUCAAAGGACAAUUAAAGUAGUCCAUCUUUUUGAUUAAAGAACAAAAGCAACAUCAACAACCAAAUUAUCCAUACAUAACAAUAUAAAAUCGACAGUUUGUUUUAUAGUCCAAUGUAACAUGUGCAUUAGACAUCAUAGUAGAGACUCAAGCUAAAACUCCAUGCACUUCUAAUUUUUGCUUUCGACACCCCAUUAAAUUCCAAAAAACCCAAUCUGAAAUAUUUUAGAGUGUCAGAAACAACAAUAUUAGAGGUGCAAGAAGCAACAAUAUUAGUGGCAGAAAAAAGAAUGUUAAAUGUUGGGGAUAUUCUUCCUGCACCAGCCAUUUUUCUUCUACACCCAACAAAUAAUGUGAAAUAUCAAAUUUGACCUUCACUUAAAAGCUGAAAUACACCAUCUCUUUGCUACCGUGUUCCAUUUCAUCUGCGUGUCUCUACUCCUCCUCCGCGAGUCUCUCCUCCUCCUCCUCAUGUUUUCAAUCCGUGCUUCCUCCACGAGUCUCUUCUCUUCCAUGAGUAUCUUCUCCUCCGCCGCUGUGAGCACCGCUAUGUCAUCGAUGAUUAUGGUUAGAACCAGAGGAUUGCGUCGGGCUUUAGACAGAGUUUUAGGUAGAGUCUUAGAUAGACAGGUUAGUGGUGAUAAGGAAGAAGCCCCUCAGCGUCGAAGGAUGACAACAUCGACACGUAGACAACCAAAAGUUGCAGCUGUUGCCAAGGAUAUUGAGCAUGUGGAUCAUGCUGCUGAUUCAUGGGGUUUUCCAGGCGGGCCCCAAGAUACAUCAAUGUUGACAUCAUAAGCUGAUUAUGCGGUAGCCAAAGUGUGGGCAGGAGAGGAACAUACUGAGUUGAAGUUGGACUUUCAUGGGAGGAAGGUGGAGAAAUAUGGAAGGCUUGCACCUGAGAUUGAAGUCUUGGAUCUACGAGCAUUUUCCAACUAUUGGGAAUAUGAUUGCUAAUGAGGACUACCAUGAGAGAAAACCAUGUGCUUGUCGUUGGAAGCAUGGGAAUGCAUUACUAGUGACCACCUACCGUAAGCGCUUGGAUAGGUUGACGACAAAUACUGUUUGUUGGAUACCUUAUGGUAAUCAUUGUGGUUUCAAAGAAUUUGAGCUAAUUUCUCUAUUUUCUGGACAUAUUAGAUGUGGUUCAUAUAUUGUUAGACACCUAUCAGAGAGGGUAAUAUGACAGUUUGGCUAUGUUCAGUCCAUUCCUCCAUUCCAUAGUUCUCCAUCGCUAUCCACAGAGGAAAUUGAUGAUAAAUGGCUUUAGUUUUCACAAUACCUUUCAUCGAUAAGAGAUUUUGUUACUUUUCCUGGUCAAUGUGCUAUAGGUUAUAUGGAGUUAUUUUAUAUGAUAUCUCACCCAUUUAUGAGUCUGCCACAGCUUGGGGAGCCUUCUAGACAUCCACCCAUGGUGCAUGAUCCUACAUCAGUUAUGGCACAUCCAUCUGUGUUGCCUGUUGAUACAACAGCUAUGCCACAUCCACCUGCACCAGCACCUAUUGAUGUUGACAUGCCUCGACAUGCAGUGAUAUAAAAUACUUACAAUUUUGUUAAGCUAAAUUUUUUUUUAAAUACUCCAAUAUUUAUUAUUCAUGUUGUUGUCAUUGCCUUAGGCUGCUUGCCAAAGGAUAUUAGAAAGCUUGCAACACAUGUUAGAUAUGAGGGUGGCCAUUGUUGGAAUUGAUGCAUACAAUAUAACAAAGCACUAUUUAAGAUUAGCUAGAGGUGUCAUUGAGAAAUGCAAUGUUUAUGUUCGAUCAAGAUGAAGGAGGGAUACACAUGGGAGAGAUGGUGGUGGAUGAGGAUAAUGAUUUUCUAUUAUUUGAUUGACUAUGUAUAUGACUAUGAUUAACAUAUGCAUUUAUUUUAUAUUUGACUAUUAAGUUCGAUCCGAAACAAACAUUAUGCUCAUUACACAAAUAUGAUUAGUAAAGUGUUACAUGCA